GGGCCUUGUACACACCGCCCGUCACACCACGAGAGUUUGUAACACCCGAAGUCGGUGAGGUAACCUUUUGGAGCCAGCCGCCUAAGGUGGGAUAGAUGAUUGGGGUGAAGUCGUAACAAGGUAGCCGUAUCGGAAGGUGCGGCUGGAUCACCUCCUUUCUAAGGAA
rnacentral:rRNA from 1 species